GACAGCAGUCGCCGCGGGAAUACGAAGGGGGCUAGCGUUGUUCGGAAUUACUGGGCGUAAAGGGCGCGUAGGCGGCCAUUCAAGUUAGAUGUGAAAGCCCUGGGCUCAACCUAGGAAUUGCAUUUGAUACUGUUUGGCUUGGGUUCGGGAGAGGUGAGUGGAAUUCCCAGUGUAGAGGUGAAAUUCGUAGAUAUUGGGAAGAACACCAGUGGCGAAGGCGGCUCACUGGACCGACACUGACGCUGAGGCGCGAAAGCGUGGGGAGCAAACAGGAUUAGAUACCCGUGUAGUCCCUGUCUCUUAUAC
rnacentral:rRNA from 1 species